AGGAUAAACGCUGGCGGCGUGCCUAACACAUGCAAGUCGAACGCGCUUUCCUCUUCGGAGGGGAGCGAGUGGCGGACGGGUGAGUAACACAUGGGUACCUACCCCACAGUGAGGGAUACCGGCGAGAAAUCGCCGACAAUACCGCAUACUCUUCCCGGUGGAGACAGCGGGAAGCAAAGUUGCGCAAGCGACGCUGAGGGAUGGGCCUGUGGCCGAUUAGCUAGUUGGGGGGGUAAUGGCCUCCCAAGGCGACGAUCGGUAGCUGGUCUGAGAGGACGAUCAGCCACACUGGGAUUGAGAACGGCCCAGACUCCUACGGGGGGCAGCAGUGAGGAAUUUUCCGCAAUGGAGGCAACUCUGACGGAGCAACGCCGCGUGCAGGAGGAAGGUUUUCGGAUCGUAAACUGCUUUUCGUCGGGGAAGAGAACGGGACGGUACCCGAGGAAUCGAGCCCCGGCUAACUACGUGCCAGCAGCCGC
rnacentral:rRNA from 1 species